CGUCGUUAUCAAGAGCGGCGCACAUUCGUGUGCCCAGCAACCUGGGGUGGACACCCAAGGUGCUUUCCUACUUUGUAGGGAUAUGGCGACGGCUCUAAGUCGGCGCAACAAAGUGUCCCAUG
rnacentral:ncRNA from 10 species